UACGGAGGGAGCUAGCGUUGUUCGGAAUUACUGGGCGUAAAGCGCGCGUAGGCGGUUUUUUAAGUCAGAGGUGAAAGCCCAGUGCUCAACACUGGAACUGCCUUUGAAACUGGAAAGCUAGAAUCUUGGAGAGGUCAGUGGAAUUCCGAGUGUAGAGGUGAAAUUCGUAGAUAUUCGGAAGAACACCAGUGGCGAAGGCGCUCUACUGGGCCAUUACUGACGCUGAUGGACGAAAGCUAGGGGAGCGAAAGGG
rnacentral:rRNA from 1 species